CGCGCAGGCGGCUUUUCAAGCCUGACGUGAAAGCCCCCGGCUCAACCGGGGAGGGUCGUCGGGGACUGGGAAGCUUGAGGGCGGUAGGGGCCGGUGGAAUUCCCGGUGUAGUGGUGAAAUGCGUAGAGAUCGGGAGGAACACCAGUAGCGAAGGCGGCCGGCUGGGCCGACCCUGACGCUGAGGCGCGAAGGCGUGGGGAGCGAACGGGAUUAGAUACCCCGGUAGUCCACGCAGUAAACGAUGCAGACUAGGCGUGGGGGGACUUGACCCCCUCCGUGCCGCAGCAAACGCGAGAAGUCUGCCGCCUGGGGAGUACGGCCGCAAGGCUAAA
rnacentral:rRNA from 1 species